CGGUAACGCGGAGAGCUUGCUCUCUGGCGACGAGUGGCGGACGGGUGAGUAACGCGUAGGAAUUUGCCCAGUAGUGGGGGACAACCCGGAGAAAUCCGGGCUAAUACCGCAUACGCCCUACGGGGGAAAGGUGGGGAUCUCUUCGGAGACCUGCCGCUAUUGGAUGAGCCUGCGUCGGAUUAGCUUGUUGGUGGGGUAAUGGCCUACCAAGGCGACGAUCCGUAGCUGGUCUGAGAGGACGACCAGCCACACUGGGACUGAGACACGGCCCAGACUCCUACGGGAGGCAGCAGUGGGGAAUAUUGGACAAUGGGGGAAACCCUGAUCCAGCAAUGCCGCGUGUGUGAAGAAGGCCUGCGGGUUGUAAAGCACUUUCAGUAGAGAAGAAAAGCUUCGGGUUAAUACCCCGGGGUCUUGACGUUAACUACAGAAGAAGCACCGGCUAACUCCGUGCCAGCAGCCGCGGUAAUACGGAGGGUGCGAGCGUUAAUCGGAAUUACUGGGCGUAAAGCGCGCGUAGGCGGUUUGAUAAGUCGGAUGUGAAAGCCCCGGGCUUAACCUGGGAACUGCAUUCGAUACUGUCAGACUAGAGUAUGGUAGAGGGAAGU
rnacentral:rRNA from 1 species